GCAGGGCCACAACCAGCACGUGGCCUAGGCAUCUCUGGGCGAGUAUCUCUUUGAGCGCCUCCCUCUCAAGCAGGACUAGGCCU
rnacentral:pre_miRNA from 1 species